UACGAAGGGGGCUAGCGUUGCUCGGAAUCACUGGGCGUAAAGCGCACGUAGGCGGAUUGUUAAGUCAGGGGUGAAAUCCUGGAGCUCAACUCCAGAACUGCCUUUGAUACCGGCGAUCUUGAGUCCGGGAGAGGUGAGUGGAACUGCGAGUGUAGAGGUGAAAUUCGUAGAUAUUCGCAAGAACACCAGUGGCGAAGGCGGCUCACUGGCCCGGUACUGACGCUGAGGUGCGAAAGCGUGGGGAGCAAACAGG
rnacentral:rRNA from 1 species